UAUUCUGCCCCACGGGGAAGGAUGAGAAGCUUCGACCAAGGUUCGACUCGAGCGAAGCGAGAGAACGUUGCCGCAGGCAACGGCCCGAAGGCGAGGAGCGUUAGCGCCGAGUUAUCCUUCCCCCACCACUG
rnacentral:sRNA from 1 species